GUCUCGGAGGCAGAUUGACCGGACUGAAGAAUAGACACAUGGCACUUUGUGAUUGGCUAGCAGGUACUUAAAAGGUGAUCUCCCUGGCUGGUCAGUGCCCACUGUUGUUUUGACAACCUGGGUGUAUGUUGUGGUUCAUAUUCUCCCAGACUUUCCUGUGCAU